AGACCAGACUCAAAAUCAGAGGCAAAAGCUAGUACAAAAUCAGAAUCGAAAGCAGGGUGAUGGUGAAAAAGUACGACCAGUGUUUGGAGAACAGGCCAAUGAUCUUUUGUUAUGGGAUUCAGACUGUAGUGAGAAUUAUAGUUUGUUUUUGCUGGUAAUAAUGCACUGAAGGACCUUGAUUUGCAUGGCUAUUUCUGGCAUCCCUUCCAUAUAUUUUGGUGAACAUUGUUGUAUAAUGGUUGUUGCAUCUU
rnacentral:misc_RNA from 1 species